rnacentral:rRNA from 1 species
CACGUAGGCUGUUAUGUAAGUCAGGGGUGAAAUCCCACGGCUCAACCGUGGAACUGCCCUUGAUACUGCACGACUUGAAUCCGGGAGAGGGUGGCGGAAUUCCAGGUGUAGGAGUGAAAUCCGUAGAUAUCUGGAGGAACAUCAGUGGCGAAGGCGGCCACCUGGACCGGUAUUGACGCUGAGGUGCGAAAGCGUGGGGAAGCAAACA